AUGCAAUAGAAAUAUUCUAUCAUAUAAAUGUUAUGAGCGGUAUUUUGGGGCAACACUUUAUUUGAUUUUUAAAGUUUUGUUGGGAGAAAGUAUAUGAUAGAAAUGCAUGUAUCUAUCUAAAUGAAUUAACUAUAAAUUUCAAACAGAAGAGGUAAAACUAUGAAACGAGAAAAUCCAUUGUUUUUCUUAUUUAAA
rnacentral:sRNA from 1 species